AAACAAAGAAUUGAGCUUCAUCUAAAUCAAAAGCUUUAUGUUUCAAAAGACACCAUCAAGAAAGUGAAACAACUACCUAUAGAAUAAGAGAAAAAUCUUGGCAAAUUACAGAAUACAUAAAUUACUUCCAAAUCUCAACCAUAAGACUCAAUCACCUCCCACCAGGUCCCUCCUUCAACAUUGAGGAUUACAAGUCAACAUGAGGUUUGAGUGGGGACACAGAGCCAAACCAGACAUGUCUAUCUGUAUUGCUAUAAAGAAAUACCAGAGGCUGGGUAAUUUAUAAAGAAAAGAGAUUUUUUUUUUUUUUUUUUUUUUUGGCUCAUGGGUCUGCAGGCUGUACAAGAAGCAUAAUGCCAGCAUCUGCAGAAGAAAGGAGGGGAGAGUGGGAAGGAUUACAAAGGAGAGAAACUUGGGGGUUGAUGGAUAUGUUCACUAUUUGCUUUUGGUGUUUUUAUGGCUGCAUACAUACUCCAAACUUAUAAAAUUGUACUAUUUAUUACAUUUUUUUCUUGGUAGUGACAGAGUCUCACUAUAUGCCCAGGCUGGUCUCGAACUCCUGGCCUCAAGUGAUCCUCCUACCUCAGCCUCCCAAAGUGCUGGGACUGUAGGUGUGAGCCACAAUGCCCAGCCCAAUUAUACAAUUUAAAUAUGUAAAAUUUAUCGUACGUCAAUUAUAUCUCAGUUAAAGCUAUCAAUGAAAAAUAAAGUUAGUUGCAAUGUAGAAUUUGAACCAAACCAAUAAACUUUUCAUACUCUGUAUAACUGAUUGGUCUACAUUUUAUUUGAAUAGGUUUUAUACAUAUAGGUAAAAUAUCUUCAUGCAAUUAUUUGGAAAAUACAGGUAGCAGCAGUGUUUGAGAAUACUGGCUUCAAUUUUGAAAGAAGUUCUAUGUGAGUAAAAUGCUAUCAAACAACAUUGCAUGCUACAGGGAAAUGUUUAAUGACAGGAAGAGUCUGUAGAUGUGGCAAACUUCAUUGUUUUAUUAUUUUAAUGCUGGGACUACAGGCAUGAGCCACCGUGCCCUGCAUGAUUAUUCUAACAUCUUGAUCACUAUAGAGUUUGCCUUUGCUGAUUAUCUUUUCCUUGGAGAUUAGA
rnacentral:lncRNA from 10 species